CGUAGGGUGCAAGCGUUAAUCGGAAUUACUGGGCGUAAAGCGUGCGCAGGCGGUGAUGUAAGACAGAUGUGAAAUCCCCGGGCUCAACCUGGGAACUGCAUUUGUGACUGCAUCGCUGGAGUGCGGCAGAGGGGGAUGGAAUUCCGCGUGUAGCAGUGAAAUGCGUAGAUAUGCGGAGGAACACCGAUGGCGAAGGCAAUCCCCUGGGCCUGCACUGACGCUCAUGCACGAAUGCGUGGGGAGCAAACAGGAUUAGAUACCCUGGUAGUCCACGCCCUAAACGAUGUCAACUGGUUGUUGGGUCUUCACUGACUCAGUAACGAAGCUAACGCGUGAAGUUGACCGCCUGGGGAGUACGGCCGCAAGGUUG
rnacentral:rRNA from 1 species